GAUGAACGCUAGCGGCAGGCCUAACACAUGCAAGUCGAGGGAGGAGCUUUCGGGCUUCGACCGGCGUACGGGUGCGUAACGCGUAUACAAUCUGCCUUUCACAUAGGGAUAGCCCGAAGAAAUUUGGAUUAAUACCUAAUGGUAUAUAGGAGUGGCAUCACAUUUAUAUUAAAGCUGAGGCGGUGAAAGAUGAGUAUGCGUUCUAUUAGCUAGUUGGAGAGGUAACGGCUCCCCAAGGCGACGAUAGAUAGGGGUUCUGAGAGGGAUAUCCCCCACACUGGUACUGAGAUACGGACCAGACUCCUACGGGAGGAAGCAGUGAGGAAUAUUGGACAAUGGUCGGAAGACUGAUCCAGCCAUGCCGCGUGCAGGAAGACGGCCUUAUGGGUUGUAAACUGCUUUUGCAGGGGAAGAAUAAGGACUACGAGUAGUUUGAUGACGGUACUCUGCGAAUAAGCAUCGGCUAACUCCGUG
rnacentral:rRNA from 1 species